rnacentral:rRNA from 1 species
GAUGAACGCUAGCGGCAGGCUUAAUACAUGCAAGUCGAGGGGCAGCAUGAUUGUAGCAAUACAAUUGAUGGCGACCGGCAAACGGGUGCGGAACACGUACACAACCUUCCAACAAGUGGGGGAUAGCCCAGAGAAAAUUGGAUUAAUACCCCGUAACAUAGCGAUGUGGCAUCACAUUGCUAUUAUAGAUUUUUCGCUGGGUGAUGGGUGUGCGGCUGAUUAGAUAGUUGGCGGGGUAACGGCCCACCAAGUCUACGAUCAGUAGCUGAUGUGAGAACAUGAUCAGCCACACGGGCACUGAGACACGGGCCCGACUCCUACGGGAGGAAGCAGGAAGGACUAUUGGACAAUGGACGCAAGUCUGAUCCAGCCAUGCCGCGUGAAGGAUUAAGGUCCUCUGGAUUGUAAACUUCUUUUAUAAGGGACGAAAAAAGGCUUUUCUAAGUCGUCUGACGGUACCUUAUGAAUAAGCACCGGCUAACUCCGUGCCAGCCGCCGCAGUAAUAC